rnacentral:rRNA from 1 species
GACAGAGGGUGCAAACGUUGCUCGGAAUACUGGGCGUAAAGCGCGUGUAGGUGGUCACGCAAGUCAGGUGUGAAAGCCCAGGGCUCAACCCUGGAAGUGCACAUGAUACUACGUGGCUGGAGUACUGAAGAGGAGAGCGGAAUUCCCGGUGUAGUGGUGAAAUGCGUAGAUAUCGGGAGGAACACCAGUGGCGAAGGCGACUACCUGGCCUGUUUCUUGACGCUGAGGCGCGAAAGCUAGGGGAGCAAACGGG